GAUGAACGCUGGCGGCGUGCCUAAUACAUGCAAGUCGAGCGAACAGACGAGGAGCUUGCUCCUCUGACGUUAGCGGCGGACGGGUGAGUAACACGUGGAUAACCUACCUAUAAUACUGGGAUAACUUCGGGAAACCGGCUCUAAUACCGUAUAAGAUAUUGAACCGCAUGGUUCAUUAGUGAAAUACGGUUUUUCUGUCACUAAUAGCUGGAUCCGCGCCGCAUUAGCUAGUUGGUAAGGUCACGGCUUACCAAGGCAACGAUGCGUAGCCGACCUGAGAGGGUGAUCGGCGACACUGGAACUGAGACACGGUCCAGAGUCCUACGGGAGGCAGCAGUAGGGAAUCUGCGGCAGCGGGGGGAAGCCUGACGGAGCAACGCGGCGUGAGUUGUGAAGAUCUUCGGAUCGUAAAACUCUGUUAUUAGGGGAAAACAAAUGUGUACGUAAAUAUGCACGUAUUGACGGUAACUAAUAAGAAAGCCACGGCUAACUACGUG
rnacentral:rRNA from 1 species